UGCAUCACGGCCGCGCGAAACUCGAUCUGUCAAUAAGCAUAAGUUAGAUAGCGAUAGUUUAUAGCUCACGGAAUAAAUAAAACAUGAGCAAAAAAGACAACGGAGGUUUAACAGUCAUAUUUGCUUACCUAAACGAGAAGAACCGUCCUUACAGUGCCCAAGAUGUCUUUAACAAUUUACAGAAGCAGCACGGCCUGGGAAAGACGGCUGUGGUUAAAGCCAUGGAACAGUUGGCACUGGAAGGGAGGAUCAAAGAUAAAACCAAUGGGAAGCAAAAUAUCUACUUUGCUGAUCAGGCACAGUUUGCAGAGGUGAGUGAGACAGAUCUGAAGGCCAUCGACAGUCGCAUCUCUGACCUCAGCACACAGGUGCAGGCCAUCUCCCAGGGCUGCAGACAGCUGGACGCAGGGAGCAUCUGGAGAAGAUUAAGUCAGCGACCAAUCAUGUCACACCAGAGCAGAAGAAGAUGGUAUGGGUCACAAUCAGACCAGGGUUCAAAUACAAAACACUCCCCCCUCCCCCAUAUACUGUGCUCAUGCGUCUUUCUUUCAGGUUUACAAGGAGAGACAUCUCUACGUGAAAGAGUGGAAGAAGAGGAAGAGACUGGUGAUUUAUUUAUUUUAGGGCUCUAAUUCCAGCUGUAUUGCUGACAUGUUACGGAUUGCGUGAUAAAAUGUAAAGGUUAUUUCCGAUCAAGCAGACGUGACGUUUACAGUGAAUGCAGUCUCCGCCAAACACAGGAACAUUGCCUUACACGCUGUACUUCCGCAAUCUGGAUUGAAUAGAGCCCUUAUUUGAUCAAAGUCGUACGAGUAUUCGUGUCAGAGCAGGACAAACCAGAACAAAUAGUCUGCAUCUGUCUCUGCUCCUCUCAGGUAGCUGAUAUGAUGGGUUCCAUUUUGGAGGGAUACCCCAAGACCAAGAAGCAAUUUCUGGAAGAAGUUGGUGUGGAGACUGAUGAAGACUGUAAAGUGA